rnacentral:tRNA from 1 species
CCCCCGGCAGCUCGACGGAUCGAGCAGCCCGUUUCUGCCGGGACGUGUGCGGGUUCGGGUCCCGCCCGGGGGUC